rnacentral:rRNA from 1 species
UACGUAGGGUGCAAGCGUUGUCCGGAAUUAUUGGGCGUAAAGAGCUCGUAGGUGGCCUGUCGCGUCGGCUGUGAAAACUCGGGGGCUCAACUCCGAGCUUGCAGUCGAUACGGGGCAGGCUAGAGUUCGGCAGGGGGAGACUGGAAUUCCUGGUGUAGCGGUGAAAUGCGCAGAUAUCAGGAGGAACACCGGUGGCGAAGGCGGGUCUCUGGGCCGAUACUGACACUGAGGAGCGAAAAGCGUGGGGGAGCGAACAGG